rnacentral:lncRNA from 1 species
UUGUCAACAGAGGAUUGGGAAAGAGCCAUAAUGAGAAGUCUCUUCUUUCCUAAUAUUGGUGUCAUUUGAUUAAAUGAUAUUAAAUGUCAAAGUCUAAAUCUGGGGUAGGAAAGAAGGAUGGGGAGGAGUGAGCACUAAUAAUAGUACUGGAAAUGAAGAAUUAUGUAUAGUUGAGGUCAUACUGGAUUGGAGUGAACUCUAAACACACUGACUUGUGUUAUUUCGGGGGCGGUGUGAAGACACAGGAAUACGACAUAACAACAGAUACAGAGCCUGGAGUAAUGACAGUACAAGUCAAGGAACACCAAGGAUCACCAGCUGCCACCCAACCCAGGAAGAGCUGCAGUGCUGCUAAUGGCUGAGGGCAUCACUGAGAUGUUCUGUAACUCACUGCAGGCGAGAUGCCGCUUCAGUAUCCCAUACCUUUGGCUGCUCUUCGUCUACUAUACCUCCUCACACUUCUCCCAGUCACCUUUCCAGCAGCUGUGAUUCCAGCUGAUUUUGGCCACCCACAUUGAUCUGGACAGGAUGCCUCUCAGAUGGAGUCUCCUCAGCCGCCCAGGUUGGAGUGCAGUGGCGUGAUCUCAGCUCACUGCAACCACUGUCUCCCGGGUUCAAUAGAUUCUCCCAACUCAGCCUCCCGAGUAGCUGGGAUUACAGGCACCUGCCAUCAUGCCUGGCUAAUUAGAGAAUAACUUUUUACAGGACUUAGCAUCAUAUUUUUAUUUGUAUAAAAUAAACAUAAAACUAGAGCUUAUUUCCUGUUAACCAUUUUGUGAGUCUUUUUGUACACUUCCAAAACACCAAUAGCCACUUUAUUAUUUUUCUUUUGCUUUUGUUAGCAUCUUUGGGCCACACAAAUAUUUAGAAGAUUUAUGUGGUAUCAAACUCAUAAUUUUGUGUAAACAAAGCUCACCCAUUUCUAUAUAGUUCAUAUUUCUAAGCCAAGGCAAAGACAAAAUAGGGAUCAUUUUUCUUUGACAAUUUUAUUUAGCAUAAAAGACUAUAUACAGGCAUUACACCUGUAAAAAACAAUUCCAUGUAAAUAAUAAACAUAAACCCCAUAAUUUGGUUUAUAUCUUUAUCCACCUAUCAAAUUCCAUGACCAUUCCCUUAAUUUACAUUUUUACCAGUUUGGUCAGGAUUCAUAGUUGGAGACAGUAGAAUCUUCUUUACCUGAUUGAUGCAAGAGGAAUUACUAAGUGAUAUGACUAGUUCACAGAAUUGUUAAGAGAGCUGAGAAAACAGACUAUGAUGACUUCAUUAACCACAACACAGAAUUAGGCCUCUCAAGGAGUUUCUACCUUUACCCUGCCUCUGCCCCUGUGGAUUUGUGGCUGAAUCAGUGGGCUGGUAUUAGUGCUGUUCCUAUGACGAUGGUUCUAGCUCCAGAAUUACAUCAUCUCUUCCACCCUUUUCCAACAAAAUGUAGCCCCACGUCUGCCUCUCUCCCUUGUAACUCAGUUCCAUAUCAGUUUUGUGUAAGUGCAGCUGUACACAGGAUGGACCCUAGUGCAUAUGCAAUGUCCUAGUUGCAGAGGAGUCUGGGAAACACAGGUUUGGGUGUUCUAGUCUCUACAGCACAAAAAGAUAUGAUAGAAGGGAGUUGAAAUGAGAGUUGAUCAAGCCCAAUCUAAUAGUAUAACUCAUAACUUUCUUAUAUUUCUACUGAGGCCAGAAUGGUCUUUAAAAUGAAACCAUAAUGUUGCUACUCCUGACAUAAAAUCCUUCAGGGAAUUCUAAAGUCAUUCAACAUGGGAACUCUUCAAUAUGCAUUAUAAAACUUUGAUGAUGCAACCCUUAUCCAGGUCUGUAGCCUCAUCUCCUUCCCUCAUAUAUGUAUUUACAAAGUCAGUAUGUGGUUUCAGACCUCCCAAUAUUUGCAUAUUCUGUUCUCUUUGCCUGGAACAUCUUUCUCUGUCUUCUUUCCCUAACUAAUUCCUACUAGUACUUCAAUUAGCUUUGCUAUUAUCACUUGUUCCCAAAGAUGCCCAAUCCCUGUAAUAUGAUGGGAUGUCUACCCAUCUAGCCUCAUAUAAUAUUCUACACAUAUUGAUUUGUAGCACUCAUUUCAUGGAACCGUCAUUAGCCUGAUUUAUUUUUCAG